rnacentral:hammerhead_ribozyme from 1 species
ACCCAGUUGAUGAGUCCCAAAUAGGACGAAAUGUGCAUCUUGGAU